rnacentral:rRNA from 1 species
CCUACGGGAGGCAGCAGUGAGGAAUAUUGGUCAAUGGGCGCGAGUCUGAACCAGUCAAGUCGCGUGAGGGAGGACGGCCCUACGGGUUGUAAACCUCUUUUGCCGGGGAGCAACGGGCGCCACGUGUGGCGCCACUGAGAGUACCCGGAGAAAAAGCAUCGGCUAACUCCGUGACAGCAGCCGCGGUAAUACGGAGAAUGCGAGCGUUAUCCGGAUUUAUUGGGGUUAAAGGGUGCGUAGGCGGACCGUUAAGUCAGUGGUCAAAUUGAGGGGCUCAACCCCUUCCCGCCAUUGAAACUGGCGUUCUUGAGUGUAAGAGAAGUAUGCGGAAUGCGUGGUGUAGCGGUGAAAUGCAUAGAUAUCACGCAGAACCCCGAUUGCGAAGGCAGCAUGCCGGCUUCCGACUGACGCUGAAGCACGAAAGCGUGGGGAUCGAACAGGAUUAGAUACCCCUGUAGUC